rnacentral:rRNA from 1 species
UACAGAGGGGGCAAGCGUUGUUCGGAAUUACUGGGCGUAAAGGGCGCGUAGGCGGCCUGCUAAGUCGAACGUGAAAUCCCCGGGCUCAACCCGGGAACUGCGUCCGAUACUGACAGGCUUGAAUCCGGGAGAGGGAUGCGGAAUUCCAGGUGUAGCGGUGAAAUGCGCAGAUAUCGGGAGGAACACCGGUGGCGAAGGCGGUUCUCUGGGCCUGUACUGACGCUGAGGAGCGAAAGCGUGGGGAGCGAACAGG